rnacentral:rRNA from 1 species
UACGUAGGGGCCGAGCGUUGUCCGGAGUUAUUGGGCGUAAAGCGCGCGCAGGCGGCCUCGCGCGCCCGACGUGAAAGCCCCCGGCUUAACCGGGGAGGGUCGUUGGGGACGGCGGGGCUUGAGGGCGGGAGAGGUCGGUGGAAUUCCCGGUGUAGUGGUGAAAUGCGCAGAUAUCAGGAGGAACACCGAUGGCGAAGGCAGGUCUCUGGGCCACUACUGACGCUGAGAAGCGAAAGCGUGGGGAGCGAACAGG